GUUAGGAAUAUUGGACAAUGGGCGAAAGCCUGAUCCAGCCAUGCCGCGUGUGUGAAGAAGGUCUUCGGAUUGUAAAGCACUUUAAGUUGGGAGGAAGGGCAGUAAGUUAAUACCUUGCUGUUUUGACGUUACCGACAGAAUAAGCACCGGCUAACUUCGUGCCAGCAGCCGCGGUAAUACGAAGGGUGCAAGCGUUAAUCGGAAUUACUGGGCGUAAAGCGCGCGUAGGUGGUUUUGUAAGUUGGAGGUGAAAUCCCCGGGCUCAACCUGGGAACUGCCUCCAAAACUGCAUGACUAGAGUACGGUAGAGGGUAGUGGAAUUUCCUGUGUAGCGGUGAAAUGCGUAGAUAUAGGAAGGAACACCAGUGGCGAAGGCGACUACCUGGACUGAUACUGACACUGAGGUGCGAAAGCGUGGGGAGCAAACAGGAUUAGAUACCCUAGUAGUCC
rnacentral:rRNA from 1 species